rnacentral:lncRNA from 1 species
GAAUGCAACCUGUCACACAGCAUGGAAUUUUCCAAAGCAGUUCUCGGCUGAGUGCAGGGGGCAGAUCUGCAUUUGUCUUUCCUUUCAGCUUGACAUCUGGACACCCACACCAAGAAUGGGCCCAUCUAUUUGAUAACAAAUGCAGUUUUUGUCUCUGCAAGCUGACCUCUCAGACAGGAUGAAUGCUUACUUAGUCUAGGAGUCGGUUUUUAGAAACCUUGAGGAUGCUGGCAUUCUCUGGGGUCCAUCUUUUUUAUUUUUUAAUUUUUUUGGUCUUUUUACCUGGGAACCUCCAUAUGCUGCGGGAGUGGCCCAAAGAAAUAACAAAAAGACAAAAUAAAUAAAUAAAUAUAGCCCAAAGACAAAGGAGUGUGAGGUGUGGUCUUGCCUUACACCUCUUGACCUGCUAAUUGGUUGGGGAAGAAUGGGGUCUUUGGAUACACUUGCUGAUUGGUUGGGGGCAUAUGUUGCCUCUCGAGGGGUGUGGUAAGGAGUGGUCCACAGACCUUUUCUGGUCGGGGGCAGGAAGGAGUAGGCCAAAUUGCUGGGGUGAGGAGGUCCUUAGGAACUUUGUAACAAUUACAGUGAGACAGGUGGGAUGAUAAGAGUCUGGCAAGGCUGGAGGCUUUUGGAGUUUUAUCUCCUUGGAGAAGCCUUGAGGUCCCACACCCACCCUCGGCUGCCUCCUCUUUGAGUUCUUAGAGUUAAGGUCUGUACCGCUGUGAGACUGAAUUCCAUGACAUUUAGAGACUAUUUCUCAUCUUUUUUUUUUUUUUUUGGGGGGGGAUACUUUAGUGCCUCUCCCACCUGUGGGCCAGCAGCAUCAGCAUCACCCAGGAACUUUUUAGAAUAUCUAAUCUUGGUCCUGACUAACUGAGUCAGAACUUUCAUCUUAACAAGAUCCCAGGUGCUUGCUAUGGACAGGAAAAACUGAGCAAUGGUGCUCUGCUCAGUAGCACUUUUCAUGCAAUACAUGUUAAGUAGUAAUAAAGAUAAUAAAGCCUAAUAAAGCAUGUGAGGCAGGUAAUUGUAUGUCACUGAUAGAAUGCCAUCUACCCAGUUUUUUCUUGCCAUCUCUUCAACAUUCUUCAGUCAUCUCAGAAUCCUAGAAGUGAUGGUAAUUUGAUCCUUCUGAAUACAGAUGAAGUUGGUAGUUUCAGAAUUACUUGCCCA